CAGUACCGUGAAAUCCCUAAUUCCCCACUACUAGCCGCCGCUCACGCCGCCCCCAACAUCGCGACGCUCACUGCUCUCUCCGGUCGGCCGCUGCACCGCGCCGUCGCCCUCAAACCCUCCUGCCGCCCCCACAGCACCCAUCCCCCCCGAGAUCGAACCCUCUCCACCACCAAGGUGCUCCAUCCCCACCCCGUCACCAAGAACUCCGGCCUCUUCGUCAUCCUGGGUGCCGGGCAGAUCCCGGGGAAGACUAUGUCGGACGUGGAGAAGCACUUCCCACGCUAUCUUGCUCCUCCACUGCCGGCCCCACGUCGUCCUGCCUACCAGUGCCCCCCACGCGGCCCUGCUCCCCGCCGUUGCCCCCUCCAGGUUGCCGGCGGCGGAGAUUUAUGUCCGUGCGAACAUCCCGAUCGGAAACAUCAGUGCCAGUGGGUUCUUCUUCAGAGACCAUCCAUUUGACGUUCUGCCCCGAGUCCCGAUGACCUUCUUAUGUGCGGAUGUCAAAAGACAUGCCUUCUUUGUACCAUUCGCGAGACCAAACAGUGCCUGACAAAAGAAGGCAGCCAAACCUACUAACCAGCGGGAUCCGAAUGAUGUGUGGAUUUCCAAAAGGAAGAAGAAGGCCAUUCACAAGACCACGACCACUGAUGGCAAGAUCACGACCUUGAAAAUGGUAGUAAUGAACACCAUUCUUGGUAUCGAAGAGUGCAAACAUCCAUCACAACACAUGGGUAGUCACUGGAACACCACCGUUGAAAAAGCUGCAAGAUAUUCUGGCAACACUUAUCAACCAACUGGAGCUAGUCAUCCAUGGUGGCAACGACAUCGGGAAGAUCUCACCUUGCUUUUUUACUUGGAUUUAUAGCCUGGGUUUGUUGGUGAAGUAAUGAUCGAAGGAGAUAGUAAAUUGUUGUCUGUGGUAGCAAAUGGCUUGCCUACAACAGAGGACUUUGAGCAUGUCACUGAUUUGGAAAUAUUGAAGGUUCCACCUGUCCCCAUGGAUAAAUUCCUUUAUCUUUUUAUUGGGUUAAUCUCUACAGCAAAUAAUUUUAAACGUAGAAUAGUGGUUCUUAAACGUAGAAUAGUGGUUCGUAGAACUGGGGUAUCAUGUGUGGGUAGUGACCACCUUAUUGAAGAUCCUUCUUCCUGUUUUGAUUGCAUUUUCAUUCACUAUGUACUUGGUUACACCUUGUCACAAGACAACACUCUUCAAAAUUUUGUCAAAACUCUUCUUGUGUUCUGUUUAUUCUAGAAUUACAGCUCCUCACUUCAUGGUCAAUACUUAUGUGCCUCUUUUGCUGCCUUUGAUAAAAUCAUAAAAAUGAGGUGGUGAACGAGGAGCUCUGGAAUGAAGCACAGACAUAUGGAGACAUCAAGUUGCUGCUGUUUGUUGAUUAUUAUAACAAGUGGAAUGGCAAGUUAUCCCCCAUGGGCAAUAGACCAGGAUAAAUUGUAUGUCAGGAUAUAGCAAAAGAAGUUUACAGGAAACACAAAAGAGGGGAGCAAAAGAUUUUCAAGCUGGAGGAUGUCCUCCCAAGAUGAAGAAUGAAAGCUUUGAUGUCAAGUAUGAGAACGAUGCAAGGAUCUUUUUCGAAGGCUAUGAGGAUGGGCAUGUAGUUGCUUCCCCACUAGUAGGAGCCAAGGCAGACAAUGUGCCUUUUAGACAAAUUCUAGAAAACAAAACAAGGAUUUUUUGCUCUCAGACAAUGAACCAUAACGUUUCCUUUAUUUAAUUACUUACAUUGGUUUAUAGGAAACUUUGAUGGUCA